ensembl:lncRNA
AUGCUGCUCCCAAUGUCCACUCUGUUAUGCUGCUCCCAAUGUCCACUCUGUUAUGCUGCUUCCCAAUGUCCACUCUGUUAUGCUGCUUCCCAAUGUCCACUCUGUUAUGCUGCUCCCAAUGUCCACUCUGUUAUGCUGCUCCCAAUGUCCACUCUGUUAUGCUGCUUCCCAAUGUCCAUUCUGUUAAUGCUGCUCACAAAUAGGCCUAUGUUUUAUGAACAUAAUCAGAACCAUUUUACAGAUCAGAUCGCAUUCACACAUCUCCAGAAGUUGCAUUGCAAGCGCGCCGCGGACGUUGUAACCAUAAAACCAGGAAGGUGAAUCAUUCUAAUAAGAUUGGUUGAAAUAAAAUUGAAUUUUUUUUAAUAUAUAUUUUUUUAAACAACAACAAUAAAUACAUGUAAUAUGUAAUGAUAUCAUACAACCACCAGGAUAAAACGGCAGGCGUUGCUGUUGAACCAGUCUUCACUAUAGUAGGCCUAAUGGAGGGCUCGGGUUUGAACAUAUGAAACGGAAAACAAGCCAUUGUUACAGGUUAGAGAUAACUUCUAAAUACGAGGUUCACCGGUAUUACACAAGGUUCUCAUCUCUCAUUUCAUGAUGGGCAUGGACACGUAGCCUACAUCAUGGAGGGGGUUUUACGCACGUCCAAUACGGGUCCUGGAUGGCUAAAAUAAUGUGGACUUGCCUACAACGCAUAGAUAAAAAGGGAAUAUCAGCUCACUGUUUUACUUCUCUCAAACUAGAUUUUAAGAUUUAUUUCCAAGCGGUCUCAGAAGCCAAACCCUUUAUCGACAGUCUUGACUACUUCACAAUUGCAUUGGGCAGGACAAAAAAGCCUUCAUUGAGAGGAGGCUAUGCUUGGUUUUUAUCCAAAUAUAUCAAAAUGGGGAAAAAAACAUGAGUUUUUAUGUUUCAAAAUAUAAAAAGUAUACAGGAACCAAAAGCACAUUAGGCUUCUCUUGUUCCAUGCGCAUUAGGGCAGUGUAUUGUCCAGACAAAGAUUUUUAGUGUAGUAAUAUUAUGUUGUAUGAAAUUAAAUCAGAUGUGAAAAAUAGGCUAUGCAAAAAUGUGGGCACUCUUGUCAUUCUGUUGAUUUGAAUACCUGUAACUACUUAGCACUGAUUAAUUGGAACACACAAUUGGUUUGGUGAGCUCAUUAAGCCUUGAACUUCAUAGACAAGUGCAUCCAAUCAUGAGAAAAUGUAUUUAAGGUGGCCAAUUGCAAGUUGUUGUUCUCUUUGACUCUCCUCUGAAGAGUGGCAACGUGGGGGCCUCAAAACAACUCUCAAAUGACCCGAAAACAAAGAUUGUUCAACAUUAUGGUUUAGAGGAAGUCUACAGCCCACAGACCACCUCCAAAGACCUACAACAUCAUCUUGCUGCAGAUGGUGUCGCUGUGCAUCGUUAAACAAUUCAGUGCACUGUGCACAAGGAGAAGCUGUAUGGGAGAGUGAUGCGGAAGGAGCCUUUUCUGCACACACGCCACAAACAGAGUCGCUUGAGGUAUGCAAACGCACAUUUGGACAAGCCAGCUUCAUUUUGGAAUAAGGUGCUGUGGACUGAUGAAACAAAGAUUGAGUUAUUUGGUCAAAACAAGGGACGUUGUGCAUGGCGGCAAAAGAACACAGCGUUCCAAUAAAAACACUUGCUACCCACAGUAGAAUAUGGUGGGGGUUCCAUCAUGCUGUGUGGCCAGUGCCGGUACUGAGAAUCUUGUUAAAGUUGAGGGUCGCAUGGAUUCCACUCAAUAUCAGCAGAUUCUUGUGAAUAAUGUUGAAGAAUCAGUCACAAAGUGGAAGUUACGCCGGGGCUGGAUAUUUCAAUGACAACGACCCAAAACACUGCUCAAAAUCUACUCUGGCAUUUAUGUAGAGGAACAAGUACAAUGUCCUGGAAUGGCCAUCCCAGUCCCCAGACCUGAAUAUCAUUGAGACUCUGUGGGAUGAUUUGAAGUGGGCUGUCCAUGCUCAUCAACCAUCAAACCUAACUGAACUGGAGAUGUUUUGUAAGGAGGAAUGGUCCAAAAUACCUUCAUCCAUAAUCCAGACACUCAUUAGAGGCUAUGGGAAGCUAAAUAUUGAUGUGAUUUUUCUAUUGGGGUGCCCACAUUUAUGCACCUGUCUAAUUUUGUUUUGAUGCAUAUUGCACAUUUUCUGUUAAUCCAAUGAACCUAAUUUCACUACUGAAAUACUUCUGUGUCCAUCAGUCAUUUGAUAGAUCAAAAUGAAAUUGCUGAUCCAAACACCCAAUUAUUUAUAAAUGGAAAUCAUGGAAAUUAUCAGGGGUGCCCAAACUUUUUCAUACGACUGUAAGACAGUGAAAUUGCCGAACCUAGCGUUAGGGCUGGGAAAUGCUAAUACGGCAGUUUUUACAUAACGAAAUUGAAAACUAACAUGUGUUUACACUAGUGCCGCCUUAAUGCCAGCCAAAAAUAGAGCUCCAUGUGUCAUGUAACCUAUGACUGUAGCCUAUGAAUUAUUGGUUCAAAACUACUGUACCUUCUGUUUGUGUAUAAACUUGACUCGUUUCAGGAAACUAGGUGUAUGUCACGCGUCACUACUUCACAGGAGAGGCAUUGGAACGUAAACAUUUAUUUUUUAUCAAAAUGCGUAUUUUGGGGGGGCAGAAAUGCC